AGAGUUUGAUCCUGGCUCAGAUUGAACGCUGGCGGUAUGCUUAACACAUGCAAGUCGAACGGAAACGAUACUAGCUUGCUAGUAGGCGUCGAGUGGCGGACGGGUGAGUAACGCGUAGGAAUCUACCUAAUAGUGGGGGAUAGCCCGGAGAAAUCCGGAUUAAUACCGCAUAAUCUCUAUGGAGUAAAGGGGCCCUCUUCUUGAAAGGUUUCGCUAUCAGAUGAGCCUGCGUAAGAUUAGCUAGUUGGUGAGGUAAAAGCUCACCAAGGCGACGAUCUUUAGCUGGUCUGAGAGGAUGAUCAGCCACACUGGGACUGAGACACGGCCCAGACUCCUACGGGAGGCAGCAGUGGGGAAUAUUGGACAAUGGGGGCAACCCUGAUCCAGCAAUACCGCGUGUGUGAAGAAGGCCUGAGGGUUGUA
rnacentral:rRNA from 1 species